rnacentral:rRNA from 1 species
AACGAACGCUGGCGGCAGGCCUAACACAUGCAAGUCGAACGCACCGCAAGGUGAGUGGCGCACGGGUGAGUAACACGUGGGAAUGUACCCUUUGGUUCGGAAUAACGUUUGGAAACGAACGCUAAUACCGGAUGAGCCCUUCGGGGGAAAGAUUUAUCGCCAAAGGAGCAGCCCGCGUCUGAUUAGCUAGUUGGUGGGGUAAAGGCCUACCAAGGCGACGAUCAGUAGCUGGUCUGAGAGGAUGAUCAGCCACACUGGGACUGAGACACGGCCCAGACUCCUACGGGAGGCAGCAGUGGGGAAUAUUGGACAAUGGGCGGAAGCCUGAUCCAGCCAUGCCGCGUGAGUGAUGAAGGCCUUCGGGUUGUAAAGCUCUUUCGCACGCGACGAUGAUGACGGUAGCGUGAGAAGAAGCCCCGGCUAACUUCGUGCCAGCAGCCGCGGUAACAC